UGCAGGAGCUGAAGCUAUGUUUGUUGAUCUAGGACAUUUCUCUGUACGAGCCAUACAGAUUGCCUUCUCUUUUGUGGUGUUCCCAUGCCUCCUUUUUGCUUACAUGGGUCAAGCUGCUUAUCUUAUGAAAUACCCUGAUUCUUCUCAUAGAAUAUUCUAUGAUUCUGUACCAGGUGACCGUCCAACAUCAUGGCUACCUAUUCAUUUCAAUUUUACUCUAGUUGUUUCAUAAGGGACAUCUCUUGGCGUUUGGUGCAUUAUUCUGACACUUCCUAUUCUCGAAUUGUGUGGAGAAACAGAUAGUCUUUUUUGGCCAGUCAUUGUGAUAGCCACACUUGCAGCGAUGAUUGCCAGCCAAGCAAUGAUAUCUGCUACAUUUUCAUGUGUCAAGCAAUCUAUGGCUCUUGGAUGCUUUCACCUUUUCUUCCUUUUCUAUUUUUCUUCCCCAUUGAGAUACUGAUCUGGGAAGGUUUUAGAUUCUCUUUUAAACGUUUUGCUUGUUUUCAGCCCGACUGUAUUGAGUUAUGUCUCCUUUCCUUGGUCCACUUCAUGUUCUCACAAUUGUGUGGUAUGGGUGUUGUGUUUCAAGAGAGCAAGUUUUUUUUACCUGUUCAUAUCCUCCUUGCAUGCACACACAACACACACUUGCAAAGUCGCAGGUGCUAAUAGUAUAUUGUGUGGCUUAUGAGGUACUUGUCAUUCAGAAAUGGUCCGAGUUCAUUGGGCAAGCAUGCCAAAGUUUCGAAGUUCUUAAAGAUCAGGAAGUGAUUCGAACCGUUCUUAAUAUAUUACAGACAAACACAAGGGUUGCCAGCUCUCUUGGAACAUUUCUCUUAACCCAGAUUUCAUUGAUCUUUUUCGACAUGCUUAAUGUCUACAGGUAUAACCAACAUUUUCAGAUGUUAGUCGAGUUUCAGUUGUCCAGUUAUAUAUCUUCAUUUCAAAUAUUGUAGUGAUAUGCAUGGAUAUAUUUAUUUUCAACAGGAUGUAUAGUGAGCUUAAUUGUAUCUAGUACUAUUGCUGAAGGGGGGCCUUUCGCUUCUAAAACAUCCUAUGUAAAAUAUUGUAGUCACUGUGGUUGCUUGCAUCCCAAUCUGGUUUAUCACUGUACCACUUGUGCAUUUAUAAUAUAAAGUAAUACCUCUGGGUAUGGUUUCCCUGUAAUCUUUUUUGUUUUCUGAUUAAGAGUUUGGUUGUCUGCAGUCAAUUUCACUGAGUGUCCAUGUAACCAGUGAUGAGAAGAAAGUAGUGCAAAGAUGACCUUGCUUAUGGAAUGGUACACAAUGACCGUUUUACUUAUUUGCAAGCCUUUUGUUUUGUAUAUGGAGAAGUUUAGGCCAUAUGUCCCCUUCUCCCUACUCUUUGUACACUUUUUAUCAAAAAUAGUAUUAAUGAGAAUUUUCUUUUGGUUACCA